GGUUUAUUGGCAAUUCAAAAAACAUUCCAUUUUUUAUUUUUUUUAUUUUUUUAUUUUUCGUUCAUUUUAACGUAUUAUAUUUUAUUUGAGAAAAUAACCUAAAAACCUUUCAAUCUUUAUCCGAAAUUUCAACUACACACUCAAACUUUAUGAGAUCUUAUUCCAAAUUACACAGUAAUGCAUUCUCUAGCGCCGCCUUUCUCAUUCCACCUCCUCCGAUCCCCGAAUUCCCCCCACCAAAAAACUCCACUCUAACAUUCGCCAUACUCCUAAAAAACAUAUCCCCACCUUUACUCAUCCUCUCAUUACUACUCUCCCUUGUUGCUGCUGUCACUGCCUCUAAUAAAGAAGACUCAAACAACUCUGCAUAAAUAUCAUCAGCAUAAAUCGAUCGAGGAAGUACAGAUAAAAAGGAGGAGAAUGGAAAGGAAAAGGAAAAAAAAAGAAAAAAAAGAUAUAUUAAAGAAAAAUAAUUACUUUCUUAUAAAAAAAUAUAAUAUUACGUGAAAAUUACGUGAUAAGUGCGUGU
rnacentral:lncRNA from 1 species